AUGAACUCUCUUUCUCUCUCUUUUAUUCCCUACUGUUUCAAGCUGAGACUUCUUAGAUCACUCACUGUCACAACUUUUUUCUUCGCUUUCUCUCUCUUCAAGUCUGUUUUGAGUUUUGACAAAUUUUUAUAUUUUGUUGGGUUUUCUUUUUUAUUCUUCUUUGUAAAACUCUUUGAGACGAGUUCAAAAUAUUUUCUUUGGUUUGUUGAGACUCUUCUUCCUCAACAUGGUUAAGAUUUCAGUUUCUCUUCACAUUUCUGUGGUUGGUUCUUGCCAAAAACCGGCUCUAUUGUGAUGCUACUGUUUCUGGGCUCUCUUUUUUGAGAGAGCCUUUCAAAGCUUUCCUUUUUUUUUUUUUUUUUGGUAAAGGGUAGUUAGGUUGGUAACCAGAGUUGAAGCUGGCUUGAGAAGCCAUUUCAGUGAUAUCGAGCUUGCUUGGUAGCAGUGCUUUUUUUUUGGUAUUGGUAUCAAGAUUUCACGGGGUUGCGCUUUUGAAAAACGUUCUGAAAGUUUGGAUCUGUGAGGCAGAUUUUGAGAGCCAUUUUCUUUUUUUUUCAUUUCACCAUCUUGAUCAUCAUCAGCUAGAGAAAAUAGAAGACAAGAAACCAAAAAAAAACCACCUACUCGGCUUUUACUUGAGGCUGUCUCAAAUCGAAACUCCUCAUUUUAGCUUCUUUUUCAUGCUCUCUCUUUUGUUUCAUAUAUCAUAAUAAAGGACGGACUUUACUAAGAAACAAAAGAAUCUUAGUUCUGAAGCCAAAUCCUCCAAAACAAGCAGCUCUUUUAUCACUCAGCUCACAGCUUAUUUCCUUCUGUCACUCAUUCUCUCUCUCUCUCUCUUUCUCUCUCUCUCUCUCUGAUCACUUCUUCAUAUAUAAACAAAGCUUGGUUCUUGUAAUCUUGGUUUUGGCAAGAAAUGGCUAUGGCGUUGGCCCAACACAGGGAUAGCAGUAGUGGCAGUAGCAUCAACAAACAUCUUGAUGCUGGCAAGUAUGUUAGGUACACAGCUGAGCAAGUUGAAGCUUUGGAACGAGUCUAUGCUGAGUGCCCCAAGCCAAGUUCCUUGCGUAGGCAACAGUUGAUAAGGGAGUGCCCCAUUCUUUCUCAUAUUGAACCUAAACAGAUCAAAGUUUGGUUUCAAAAUCGCAGGUGUAGAGAAAAGCAAAGAAAAGAGUCUUCAAGGCUGCAGACUGUAAAUAGAAAAUUAACAGCAAUGAACAAGCUGUUGAUGGAGGAGAAUGAUCGGUUGCAAAAGCAGGUGUCUCAGCUGGUUUGCGAGAAUGGAUAUAUGAGGCAACAACUGCAUACUGUCAAUGCAUCAGCAACUGAUGCAAGCUGUGACUCUGUGGUUACCACUCCUCAGCAUUCACUGAGAGAUGCCAAUAACCCUGCUGGACUCCUCUCCAUUGCAGAGGAGACCUUGGCAGAGUUCCUUUCCAAGGCUACGGGAACUGCUGUCGAUUGGGUCCAGAUGCCUGGGAUGAAGCCUGGUCCGGAUUCGGUUGGGAUAUUUGCCAUUUCCCAAAGUUGUAGUGGAGUGGCAGCUCGAGCCUGCGGUCUUGUAAGUUUAGAACCUACUAAGAUUGCGGAGAUUCUUAAAGAUCGUCCAUCUUGGUUCCGGGACUGCCGUAACCUUGAAGUUUUCACCAUGUUUCCUGCUGGCAAUGGCGGAACAAUUGAGCUUGUAUACACACAGACAUUCGCACCAACUACGCUGGCUCCUGCAAGAGACUUUUGGACUCUAAGAUACACUACAACUUUAGAGAACGGCAGUCUCGUGGUCUGUGAGAGGUCUCUUUCUGGUUCUGGUGCUGGCCCAAGUGCAGCUGCUGCUGCUCAAUUUGUGAGAGCUGAAGUGCUUCCUAGUGGCUAUUUGAUUAGGCCUUGUGAGGGUGGAGGGUCAAUCAUCCAUAUUGUUGACCACCUGAAUCUUGAGGCAUGGAGUGUGCCAGAGGUGCUGCGCUCACUUUAUGAAUCAUCAAAAGUAAUUGCUCAGAAAAUGACGAUUGCGGCACUGCGCUACGUCAGGCAGAUUGCUCAGGAGACAAGUGGUGAGGUGGUAUACAGUCUGGGCAGGCAGCCAGCUGUCCUGAGAACUUUUAGCCAAAGAUUAAGCAGAGGCUUUAAUGACGCAAUAAAUGGAUUCAAUGAUGAUGGAUGGUCAAUAAUGAAUUGUGAUGGUACUGAGGAUGUGAUAAUUGCUGUCAAUUCAAGCAAGCGCUUGAGCAGCACUUCAAAUCCUGCCAACGCUCUUUCGUUCCUUGGGGGUGUUCUUUGUGCAAAGGCGUCCAUGCUGCUUCAAAAUGUUCCUCCUGCUGUGCUUGUCCGUUUCCUGAGGGAGCACCGCUCUGAGUGGGCUGAUUUCAAUGUUGAUGCUUAUUCUGCUGCAUCAUUGAAGGCUGGAACAUAUGCUUAUCCUGGAAUGAGACCUACGAGGUUUACUGGGAGUCAGAUCAUCAUGCCACUUGGCCACACAAUUGAAAAUGAAGAGCUGCUCGAAGUUAUAAGACUUGAAGGCCAUUCUCUUGUACAAGAAGAUGCCUUUUUAUCAAGGGAUGUUCAUCUAUUGCAGAUAUGCUGUGGAAUUGACGAGAAUGCUGUUGGAGCCUGUUCAGAGCUUGUCUUUGCUCCUAUUGAUGAGAUGUUUCCGGAUGAUGCUCCCCUACUACCUUCUGGAUUCCGCAUUAUUCCAUUGGAGUCAAAACCAUCUGAUACACAGGAUUCAUUGACUACAAAUCGGACUCUGGAUCUCACUUCUAGUCUUGAAGUGGGGCCUGCAACAAACCAUUCUGCAGGAGAUGCUCUAUCAUGUCAGAACACAAGAUCGGUGUUGACAAUUGCCUUCCAAUUUCCCUUUGAUAGCAAUCUUCAGGACAAUGUUGCAAACAUGGCACGCCAGUACGUCCGAAGUGUCAUUUCUUCCUUCCAGAGGGUUGCCAUGGCCAUAUCUCCAUCUGGAUUGAGCCCAGCUGUAGGACCAAAGCUAUCUCCAGGCUCUCCAGAAGCACUUACACUGGCUCACUGGAUCUGCCAGAGCUACAGUUACCAUUUAGGGGCAGAAUUGUUGAGAUCUGAAUCACUUGGUGGUGACUCAAUAUUGAAGAAUCUCUGGCACCAUCAGGAUGCCAUAUUGUGUUGUUCGGUGAAGUCGCUACCAGUUUUCAUUUUUGCAAAUCAAGCUGGGCUUGACAUGCUUGAGACAACCCUAGUGGCUCUACAAGACAUCACACUGGAUAAAAUAUUUGAUGAGUCCGGACGCAAGGGAUUGUGCUCCGAUUUUGCCAAGUUGAUGCAGGAGGGAUUUGCUUACUUGCCGGCUGGAAUCUGCAUGUCAACGAUGGGACGCCAUGCCUCGUAUGAACAAGCUGUUGCUUGGAAAGUCCUUGAAGCCGAUGAGAGCACUGUCCACUGCCUGGCCUUCUCUUUUGUAAACUGGUCUUUUGUGUGAAAACAUUUUGCUAUAAUUUAUUUGUCCGACACCCCAGGUUUUCCUCAAGCUGAAUGGAAAUGAUGAACAAAUCGAGGAAAGGGGGAGAUGUAAAAUGAAAUGAAGAACUGAGUUUUGUAAUAUUCAAGCACCCAGUUCAGGAAUAAUGAGGGAUCUGAAAAGAGGCACCUACCCCACCCCCAUAGGUCGGCAGGUCAUAUGGCAGUGAUGGGUUCAACCCAAAAUUCACUGCAGUGAAUUUUUUUCUAGGACUUGAUGUUUCCUGUAUUAAUAGGGAUGCUGUUGAGUGAAUAUUGGUUACAGUUAUAGGCCAGCAGAAUGCUGUGUUGUGAGGGCAGCAAUCAGAGCAGCAGCAGCAGAGAUGUUGACACCAAGUGGGGCCGUGUGUUGUGUAGUGUAAACUGUAUGAUAGCACUCCGCAGUAUGAAUUGUCUCUGGAUUUGACUCAUAUUCACCCAGUUUGGUUUGGCCGACUAUGUCUAUGCUAUUACCGUAGCACUAGACAGUGGCUGACCAUUUAAAGAUGAGCUGUAAAAAAAUUUCCCC